rnacentral:rRNA from 1 species
CCUACGGGUGGCAGCAGUGGGGAAUAUUGGACAAUGGGGGCAACCCUGAUCCAGCCAUGCCGCGUGUGUGAAGAAGGCCCUCGGGUUGUAAAGCACUUUCAGUGAGGAAGAACGCCUGGUGGUUAAUACCCAUCAGGAAAGACAUCACUCACAGAAGAAGCACCGGCUAACUCCGUGCCAGCAGCCGCGGUAAUACGGAGGGUGCGAGCGUUAAUCGGAAUUACUGGGCGUAAAGCGCGCGUAGGUGGCUUGAUAAGCCGGUUGUGAAAGCCCCGGGCUCAACCUGGGAACGGCAUCCGGAACUGUCAAGCUAGAGUGCACGAGAGGAAGGUAGAAUUCCCGGUGUAGCGGUGAAAUGCGUAGAGAUCGGGAGGAAUACCAGUGGCGAAGGCGGCCUUCUGGACUGACACUGACACUGAGGUGCGAAAGCGUGGGUAGCAAACAGGAUUAGAUACCCGAGUAGUC